UCUAUAUUUAUUGUUUGAGUAAAUUAUAGUGUUUCAGGCAGGCGUGCGCCGGAAUACUUUAGCAUGGAAUAAUCGAAUUGGACCGUGUAUUCUUAUUGAAUUCUUCCUUAUUGUUGGUUCAAGGACACGGAAAUGGUUAAUAGGGAUAGUGUUUUUAUUAUCAGGGGAGGCAUUAGUAUUUAAUUUCCAGAGGUGAAAUUCUUUGAAAUAUUAAAGACUAACUUAU
rnacentral:rRNA from 12 species